rnacentral:rRNA from 1 species
UACGUAGGGUGCAAGCGUUGUCCGGAAUUAUUGGGCGUAAAGAGCUCGUAGGCGGUCUGUCGCGUCGGAUGUGAAAACUCGGGGCUCAACCCCGGGCCUGCAUUCGAUACGGGCAGACUAGAGUACGGCAGGGGAGACUGGAAUUCCUGGUGUAGCGGUGAAAUGCGCAGAUAUCAGGAGGAACACCGAUGGCGAAGGCAGGUCUCUGGGCCACUACUGACGCUGAGAAGCGAAAGCAUGGGGAGCGAACAGG